GACGAACGCUGGCGGCGUGCCUAAUACAUGCAAGUUGAGCGAUGAAGAUUUGUGCUUGCACCAAUUUGAAGUGCCGCGAACGGGUGAGUAACGCGUGUAGAAUCUGCCUUUCAUCGGGGUACAACCUUUGGAAACGAAUGCUAAUACCGCAUAACAACUUUAUACAUAAGUUUUAUGUUUGAAAGAUGCAAUUUCAUCACUCACACAUGAUCCCGCGUUUUAUUAGUUAGGUGGUGAGGUACAGGCUCAUCAAGGCGAUGCUACGUAGCCGACCUGAGAGGGUGGUCAGCCAGAAUGGGAGUGAGACACGGCACAAAGGCCUACGGGAGGCAGCAGUAGGGAAACGUCGGGAAUGGACGAAAAUCAGAGCGAGCAAGGCGGAGGGAGUGAAGAAGGUUUUCGGGUCGUAAAACUCUGUUGGUAGAGAAGAACGUUGGUGAGAGUGGAAAGAACAGCAAGUGACGGUAACGACCAAGAAAGGAACGGCUAACUACGUG
rnacentral:rRNA from 1 species